AACGCUAUCUACAGGCUUAACACAUGCAAGUCGAGGGGAAACGAUAUUGGAAGCUUGCUUCCGAUAGGCGUCGACCGGCGCACGGGUGAGUAACGCGUAUCCAACCUGCCCAUCACUUGGGGAUAACCUUGCGAAAGUAAGACUAAUACCCAAUGAUAUUUAUAGAAGGCAUCCGAAAUGAAUUAAAGAUUUAUCGGUGAUGGAUGGGGAUGCGUCUGAUUAGCUUGUUGGCGGGGUAACGGCCCACCAAGGCGACGAUCAGUAGGGGUUCUGAGAGGAAGGUCCCCCACAUUGGAACUGAGACAUGGUCCAAACUCCUACGGGAGGCAGCAGUGAGGAAUAUUGGUCAAUGGGCGAGAGCCUGAACCAGCCAAGUAGCGUGCAGGAUGACGGCCCUAUGGGUUGUAAACUGCUUUUAUAGGGGAAUAAAGUGAGCCACGUGUGGUUUUUUGCAUGUACCCUAUGAAUA
rnacentral:rRNA from 1 species